rnacentral:rRNA from 1 species
UGGGGAAUAUUGCACAAUGGGCGAAAGCCUGAUGCAGCGACGCCGCGUGAGUGAGGAAGUAUUUCGGUAUGUAAAGCUCUAUCAGCAGGGAAGAAAGAAAUGACGGUACCUGAGUAAGAAGCUCCGGCUAAAUACGUGCCAGCAGCCGCGGUAAUACGUAUGGAGCAAGCGUUAUCCGGAUUUACUGGGUGUAAAGGGAGCGUAGGCGGCAGAGCAAGUCUGAUGUGAAAGCCCGGGGCUCAACCCCGGUAGUGCAUUGGAAACUGUUCAGCUUGAGUGUCGGAGGGGUAAGCGGAAUUCCUGGUGUAGCGGUGAAAUGCGUAGAUAUCAGGAAGAACACCGGAGGCGAAGGCGGCUUACUGGACGAUUACUGACGCUGAGGCUCGAAAGCGUGGGGAGCGAACA